rnacentral:rRNA from 1 species
AUUGGCCUCGGAUCAGGUGGGGAUACCCGCUGA